GUGUGAUGAUGAAUUUAAAUCUGAAGAUAUUGUGUAGAUAUGAAAACGAGCUUUUUAAAACUGAACACC